UACGUAGGGUCCGAGCGUUGUCCGGAAUUACUGGGCGUAAAGAGCUCGUAGGUGGUUUGUCGCGUUGUUCGUGAAAACUCACAGCUUAACUGUGGGCGUGCGGGCGAUACGGGCAGACUUGAGUACUGCAGGGGAGACUGGAAUUCCUGGUGUAGCGGUGGAAUGCGUAGAGAUCGGUAGGAACACCAAUGGCGAAGGCAGCUUGCUGGCAUGUAUCUGACGCUAAGGCACGGAAAGCGUGGGGAGCGAACAGG
rnacentral:rRNA from 1 species